rnacentral:lncRNA from 1 species
CACUACAUAAUCAUUCAUUAUCUUUACAAUUAACCAUCUAAAGCUACCACAGUUCUUCAAUCAAAGUAUAUAACUACAUAUAUAGAGAGAGUACACUUCCUAAUUUCGUCUCUUGUCUUCCGUAAACGUAGCAAAAAAAUUUGAUACCCAGUAUUGUAAGACAAGUCGUAGAAGCAGUCUUCCUGCACAUAAUUAAAAAUAAUAACAAAGUCAGAAAAAUAAAGCAAAUAGGUCACUAGAGGCACUUAGUGCCAAAAUCAAUACGCAAAGACAAUAGAGUUGCUACGUGGUACUAAUGUACACCGUAUUGCUCAUAAGCAGAAAAAGACAAUAGGGUUACUAUGUGGUACUAAUGUACACUGUAAAUUAGGAUGCUUGUGUAUAUAAGCCAAUGUAAUUGAGAAGAAUGAAUCAAGAAAUCAUUAUCCCAAAAUCAGGUUCUUAUUUUCUACAGAUUACAUGGACCAUCUUUAUUACAAGGUCAUCUGACUUGAUACUCCAUCCUCAAAAGCAUGUCCAGAAAUACACCAAGAUUUUGUCCUAAAAAAAAAAGUCUAAAGUACACAAACUAAAUGUGAAAUAUGACAUGCAUAAUAAUUUUAACCUAAAGUGCACAUAUCCCCGUAAGAACAUUUCACUCUCAAGUUAAUUACACUAUUUGUAUGGGUCCAAAUAUUAUUGGAACAGUUUUUAUUCUCUCUCCUCUAAUUUGCCAACCUUAAAUUUGUCAGCCCAUUGUACUCUUAGACAUCCUAUAAAUAAAAUACUAUAUACAUAUAAAUUAAAAUACAUAGAAAGCAGAAUUCUUUAUUAGGACAGAGGGAGUACAAUAUGAUCGAAAUGACAGGAAGCUAAAUUGUUCACAACUAAUGCUUACUUGUUCAAAUCAUGACACAAGAUAUAUAGCUACUAAACAAUAAAUUUUGUUUUGCAGGCUGCUUUCAAAAAGAGCAAAUUAUAGAAAGUGGUGGAUUUAGGAAGGCUCCCAAAAAGUUUGACUAAUAAUCAUUAUUACCAGUUUAUUGACUGAAUUGAGACGAAUACAAUUAUGUACAAUUCAUAAACAUAUUUUAUUGGUAAGUAACAAGAUCUUAAAAGUUAAAAACACUAGGGGUAUUUCAAGAAAAAAAUUAUACAUACAUAAAAAUGUUUAUACUGUAUAGAUAUUUAGUACAUAUAAAUUAGCACCAGUACCAAAAAAAAAAGAGAGAAAAAGAAAAGGAGCAUCAGAACUUGUAAUUGUUUUUCCUUUAUAGCAGUGAGCAUUUCUUCCUCUUUUUUCAGCAUUUCCUAAAGAUCAAAAGCCUGUAAUAUGAUUUCAUGGCAGGAUAGUAUAUAUAAAAUAUGAUAAUAACCAUAAAGGAAUACUCGAGCACACGCGGAAGUAAAAAAGAAUUAAGGAUCAACCUUGUAGAUAUCCAAAGAGAUGGUAACAAACCAUGCCUGCAUCCAGGGGGUGGGGAAGAAGGAAAAAAGAUUGCAAUUUCAGAAGUUUAUGGAUAACCAUGGAAGCUUGAAACUAAAAUUAUUCAAGAAAAAUUACAUUUAGGCAAAUUAUUUCUAAUACAAUAUUAACAGUAACACAAAUUUUGAAGAAAGUUAUGCACUAUCUAUAAGCAUGUUCAUAGUCAGGAAGUGAUUGUGUUAAAGAAUAUCUUUGAGAACAGUCAAAACAGGUCUGGCAGAUGCAGUAGCAACCAACUGAUUAUGAUGCAACUGCAAUAGAAAGCAUUGACAUAUAGAAAGUAAACUAUUAUACCCCUCAGAAUUACAAAACAUAAACACUUAGAUUGUUGCAGGAAUGUUACUCACAUCAUAGAUAAGCUACCAUGUAUGGUACACAUUACUGCUCUAUGAUAACUUUUUCCUUGAGAUUUUCAAGAUAUUGACGGUGUAUAUUUUGGAACCACAUUUCCUCACCUAUUUUUGAUGACUUAUGGUCACCUCAAUGCAGGGUAUUAGAAAAGUAAGUAUACAGUUGCACAGUGUGAAGUUGACAAAAGAGCAAAAUGAACUUCUUUUUCAUUUCUUUUACCAGC